UGAUGAUGAUGGUGAUCACAUUAAUUGUGAAAUUAUAAAAAAACAACGAUUCAGAGUGAUUUUCAUAAAAAAGUAAAUUAAUUAAAAUUAUUCGUUAAUCAGUGGAAGCUGAAGUCGUGUUAUAAGUCAAAAUCGUCAAAGACUAAAAAAUAUCCUUCCACAACUACGGAGAACGUUUAGCCAAGAGCACUAAGAAACAAAGCCUAAAAGAAUUUAUGAGAUACAUGCAUAAGUGUGUAUUUGCAAUUACACAAGCUAAUAAUAUUAGCUUAACUUCUUAUACUAAUUUACUAACUUAAUUUAUUCGCAUUAAAUAUUCCCAUACGAAAUCAUACCAGGGGUACUUAAGGCGUUUGAAAUUGUAAUUUGGUAAAGACGUGCCAAAAGCGUCGUUGUCUGAAAGUCAACUGAGAAAUCGUGGAGGGAGAUGACGUCAAGACAUAAAGAAGCCCAGCGUUUUAGGAACUUAAUUUCCAGGUCACGUAAAGUGUCAAUGUUCAGUUGUUUCCCACAUGCAACGCAUAUCUAUGCAGAUGUUUGUUUACGUUUCUAUAUUGAGCAAUGCCAAGAAAACGCAAAGGGGCUGAUUUGAACCGUAAUACAAGUAGGUAGCAGUAUGAGAGAUAAAAGAUCCCAAAGAACCGAGGAACAAAUCCCGAAACAAAAUGCUGAUGCACGUGUGAGCAUGCAGCAAUUGCGUCAAGAACAAUCAGAAGAUACAAGAGCUGAGCGUAAUGAAGUUAUUCGUUUAGAACAACGACAAUCACGCCGUUUCGUAUUUCAGUUUCAGCAGAACAAGGUGGGUCCUUCUUUUUGGAUGCACCGGGUGGAACUGGCAAAACAUUCCUUAUUUCACUAGUUAUUGCUGAAAUACGAUCAGUGUGUAACAUUAAAAAACAAUCGUCCAUGGCCAGCGUGCUGAAACAGUGUAAAAUUAUCAUCUGGGAUGACUAUGGCACACAAACAUUCAAUUCAGGCGUUGAACAGGACAUUGAAAGAUAUUAAAAACAACGACAAACUAUUUGGCGGCACUCUGUUGCUGUUUUCAGGUGAUUUCAGACAAACUCUUCCCGCCAUUCGACGUUCAACAUACGCUGAUGAGAUCAACGCUGGCUUAAAAUCAUCUCCAUUGUGGCGUAACGUAAAAUUACCGGCCGAUUUCUGCACAAUCGCUGAUUCGCAAGAUACUCUCAUUGAACAAAUAGUUCUCGAUGUACACACACAGUACAUAAAUCAUGAGUGGCUUGCAGAAAAAGCUAUUUUAGCAGCAAAAAAUGUAGACAUUGACAUUUUAAAUUUGAAGAUACAACAAUUGUUGCCAGGCAACUUGGUAUCAUACAAAUCUAUUGAUACAGUUUGCGAUGUCAGCGAAGCUUUGAACUAACUGGAUUUGCCAGGCAUGCCACCGCAUAAUUUACAAUUGAAGGUUGGAUCUCCAAUUAUCUUGCUUCGUAAUUUAAACCCGCCACGGCUGUGCAACGGUACGCGAUUAGCCAUUCGAAAAUUGAUGAAAAACGUUAUCGAAGCCAGCAUUUUAAUGGCAAGUUCAAAGGUGAAAACUUAGUAAUACCACGAAUUCCUAUCAUACCUACAGAUGUGCCAAUUCAAUUCAAACGAAUUCUGUUUCUGAUUAGAUUAGCAUUUGCAAUGACAAGCAAAAAAUCCCAAGGCCAAACGAUGUCCAUUUGUGGCUUAAAUUUGAGGACAUCGUGUUUUUCACACGGGCAAUUGUACGUAGCAUGCUAUCGAGCGGGUAAACCAUACAGUUUGUUUGUGCUCGCUAAAGAUGGGCUAACAAAAAAUGUUGUUCACGCUAUAGCAUUACAUGUUUGUUAGUGUUACUGUUGUAAUUAAUAUGUGAUAUGUAAUUUUAAGAAAUUUACUAUAACUUAAAAAUAAUAUUGUUUGACGUUUGUUAUUUUAUAUUCAAUUAUCGUUCAUAGCGCUCCAUGCCUAUUUUACGCAUAUACCACAUACUUACACACUUAUAAUAAGUAAGUUACUUUUUGUCUACACUAGAAUUUAAAACGUUUGCCGGGUCAGCUAGUAUAUGUAUAUACAUAUACGAAAUUAUAAGUGUUACGAUUUUGCUGAAUUGAUGUCCAAUGUCCGAGGUAUGGUCAUUAUAAAAGUAUAAAAUGUAUUUUAGUAUUCAUCUGAGAUUGAACGAAUAAA